rnacentral:rRNA from 1 species
GAUGAACGCUAGCGGGAGGCCUAACACAUGCAAGCCGAGCGGUAUUUGUUCUUCGGAACAGAGAGAGCGGCGCACGGGUGCGGAACACGUGUGCAACCUGCCUUUAUCUGGGGGAUAGCCUUUCGAAAGGAAGAUUAAUACCCCAUAAUAUAUUGAGUGGCAUCAUUUGGUAUUGAAAACUCCGGUGGAUAGAGAUGGGCACGCGCAAGAUUAGAUAGUUGGUGAGGUAACGGCUCACCAAGUCAAUGAUCUUUAGGGGGCCUGAGAGGGUGAUCCCCCACACUGGUACUGAGACACGGACCAGACUCCUACGGGAGGCAGCAGUGAGGAAUAUUGGACAAUGGGUUAGCGCCUGAUCCAGCCAUCCCGCGUGAAGGACGACGGCCCUAUGGGUUGUAAACUUCUUUUGUAUAGGGAUAAACCUACUCUCGUGAGAGUAGCUGAAGGUACUAGACGAAUAAGCACCGGCUAACUCCGUG